AUCACUUCUCGGCCUUUUGGCUAAGAUCAAGUGUAGCUAGCUAGCUAGCUAGCUAGCUAGAUUGCUAUGGCACUCCCAUGAUCCAAUCACUUCCCAAAGGGCCUGCCUGUAGACACCCAAGUCUUCUGAGGGUCAUGGAAGAUCUAAACCAUA
rnacentral:snRNA from 1 species